UACGAAGGGGGCUAGCGUUGCUCGGAAUUACUGGGCGUAAAGCGCACGUAGGCGGCUUUCUAAGUCGGGGGUGAAAUCCUGGAGCUCAACUCCAGAACUGCCUUUGAUACUGAGGAUCUUGAGUUCGGGAGAGGUGAGUGGAACUGCGAGUGUAGAGGUGAAAUUCGUAGAUAUUCGCAAGAACACCAGUGGCGAAGGCGGCUCACUGGCCCGAUACUGACGCUGAGGCACGAAAGCGUGGGGAGCAAACAGGG
rnacentral:rRNA from 1 species